UACGUAGGGGGCUAGCGUUGUCCGGAAUCAUUGGGCGUAAAGCGCGUGUAGGCGGUUCGGUAAGUCCGCUGUGAAAGUCGGGGGCUCAACCCUCGGAUGCCGGUGGAUACUGUCGGGCUUGAGUACGGAAGAGGCGAGUGGAAUUCCUGGUGUAGCGGUGAAAUGCGCAGAUAUCAGGAGGAACACCGGUGGCGAAGGCGGGAUCCUGGGCCAGUACUGACGCUGAGGAGCGAAAGCGUGGGGAGCAAACAGG
rnacentral:rRNA from 1 species